UAAAGCACAAGUUUCUUUUGGAUAGAAAGUCAUAGGAAAUUUCAUUACCAAAUAACGUCUCAUAAUACAGCAUGGACAAAUAGGAAUGCACAUGCAUGUCUUGGCAACAACCAACAAACUCUCAAUUUUUAUAUAACUAUGAAGAUAGGAUUCCUAACACCGGAGAAAACAAGAUGCUACUUUGUGUCCUCAGUCCAGCAGAAGUACUUCAACAAUGACCAAACGAGGAGCAGUCUUCUUUCCAGCAAGUCUUUUACCUGAAAAAACAAACUGAGCAAAAGUUAAAGACAUGUAAUCAUAGGAAAUGACUUCUUCGAGCAUUCGUUGAAGCAAAAUCAUCAAUUACUGUAUCAAGAUUGAUAUUAUCCAACAUGCUUUUCUCAAUACAACACAUGGCCAGACCAUUCAAUCUUUCUUGGGACAUAGUUGACCUCAAAUAAUUUUUCAGUAAUUUUAACUUGGAAAAGCUUCUCUCAGCCGAUGCUACAGUCACAGGUAUGGUCAGGAGGAUUCGGUAAGCAAUUGAAGCAUUUGGGUAACAAUCUGCAGCUCGAACAAACUCAAAAAUCUCAUCAGCUGACACGAGGUUAUUUGGCAAAAUCAUUUGCAGAACUUUCAAUUCGGAAAACAAAUCAUUUGAAUCAACAUCUGAUGAGUUGUUAUGAGUAAAAGUAUUUGCAAAGUUGCUGCAACAUUUUCUUAGCAUCGUCCUCUAAUGACUUCAAUUCUUUCGAGUUGAACAGAAAACCAAACAUACUUCCAAAUGACUUUAGCUCAUCAAAUCUUUUGGUCAGUGAACCAAUUGCCACAUCUAUCAUGACAAGAAAAUAAUUUACUCUAAAUGACUCCUCGACUGCUUGCACUUCUUCAUCAUUUUGAUCAUUUUCAUUCAAUUCAUCAAAAUGUCUUUUCCUGGUAACACGACGUUUUGUAGGAAAUGUAGGUUCUACGUUCAUUUUAGAUGCAAUAGAUUUUGCAAUCUGCAUACUAGAUGUAAAGCCAUCAUUUCUAUACUUCUUAAAAAAAUGAAAUUGUCUCUUGAAUUAGCUUAAGUGUAGCAUCAAUGCACACAAACUUAGACUGUAACUUCUUACUAACCAAGUUUACAACAAAUAAAAUAUCAUACCAAAUUACCAUGCCAAGUAAAAAUUCAAAAUUUCCAAGUGCACUAACCAAAGAUUUUGCAUCACUCUUAGUUUUGGGGUCAUCAUCAGAAGUUCUUUCCAAUUCUAAUAAAGUUGAACGCAACUGAGGAGCUUGGAAUCUAAUUGCUUUAACACUUUUUAUUCGACUCUCCCAACGCGUAGUAGACAAAUAUUUCACAUUCAAGUCUGAAACAUUAUCACGCAAUAAUUUCCAUCUCUUGGUAGAACUUGAAAAUAAAACAUAAAUUCGCUGCACAACUCCAAAGAACAUAAUAGCUUUGCCGCAAGAUUUUGCCAUAUCACAAAGUGUAAGAUUCAAACUAUGACAAGCGCAUGGCAUGUAUAAUGCUCUUGGAUUUAUUUCAAGCAAUCGACUUUUAACCCCUUGGUAUUUUCCCUCCAUGUUAGAACCAUUAUCAUACCCUUGACCUCUAACAUCAUUAACAUUCAAAUCAAGAGAUUUAAGUGCAUCUAUUAGCUCCUUGAAAAGUCCUAGUCCAGAUGUAUCAUUAACCUUCAAGAACUCUAGAAAAAAUUCCUCUACUUUUGUAAUGGUACUUGACAUGUUAACACACCUCACAAUUAAAGUCAUUUGUUCUUCAUGGCUUACAUCCGGGGUACAGUCAAUUACAGAGAAAUAUUUAGCAUCCUUAAUUAUUCUCAAGAUAGAACUCUUAACACUAUCAGCAAGAAGAGCAAUUAACUCAUUUUGGAUCUUAUGUCCAAGAUAAUGAUGAUGAAUUUCACUAUUUUGGAUGCGCCUAAUAUGGUCUUGCAUUAUGGGAUCAAAUUCUGCAAUCAUUUCAACUACCCCCAAGAAAUUACCAUUAUCAUCUUGAUAAAGUUUCUCAUUUGUUCCUCGAAAAGCCAGAUUAUGUUUAGCAAGAAAUUUCACGGCAGCAAUAAUUCUUACUAACACUUGCCUCCACCUCUCUUUUUCUUUUGCAAUUUCAAGCUGCACAUCCUUAUCAAUAGUUUGAUUGUUACGUAGUCUCACUCUUAGUUCAUUCCACGUGUUCAUAUUAGUGAGGUGCUCGAUACUAUUCUCAUGAUAUUUAAGCCGCUCACUUAGAUGUUUCCAGUCACAUAGUCCCUCAGAUGCCAACAUACUUUUACUAGCUUGAGAUUUAAACAACUUGCAACAAAAACAGUAAACUUUGUUCACAUGUUUAGAGUACACUAACCAUUUUCUAUCACUUACCUCACCAUUGCUUAACUUUCUUGAGUAGUACGUGUUGGAAAUAUGCCCUAGAGGCAAUAAUAAAAUGAUUAUUAUAUUUCCUUGUUCAUAAUAAUUGUCUAUUAAUCAUGCUAAAAUUGUAUUAUCCGGAAAUCGUAAUACAUGUGUGAAUACAUAGACCACAAUGUGUCCCUAGUGAGCCUCUAGUUGAAUAGCUCGUUGAUCAACAGAUAGUCAUGGUUUCCUGGCUAUGGACAUGGGGAUGUCAUUGAUAACGGGAUCACAUCAUUAGGAGAAUGAUGUGAUGGAAAAGACCCAAACCUAAGCAUAGCACAAAGAUCGUGUAGUUCGUUUGCUGUAGCUUUUCUGGAUGUCAAGUAUCAUUUCCUUAGACCAUGAGAUUGUGCAACUCCCGGAUACCGUAGGAGUGCCUUGGGUGUGCCAAACGUCACAACGUAACUGGGUGACUAUAAAGGUACAUUACAGGUAUCUCCGAAAGUGUCUGUUGGGUUGGCACGAAUCGAGACUGGGAUUUGUCACUCCGUAUGACGGAGAGGUAUCUUUGGGCCCACUCGGUAAUGCAUCAUCAUAAUGAGCUCAAUGUGAUCAAGUGGUUGAUCACGGGAUCAUGCAUUACGGUACGAGUAAAGUGACUUGCCGGUAACGAGACUGAACAAGAUAUUGGGAUACCGACGAUCGAGUCUCGGGCAAGUAACAUACCGAUUGACAAAGGGAAUUGAGUACGGGAUUGAUUAGGUCCUCGACAGCGUGGUUCAUCUGAUGAGAUCAUCGAGGAGCAUGUGGGAGCCAACAUGGGUAUCCAGAUCCCGCUGUUGGUUAUUGACCAGAGAGUCGUCUCGGUCAUGUCUGCUUGUCUCCCGAACCCGUAGGGUCUACACACUUAAGGUUCGGUGAUGCUAGGGUUGUAUAGAUAUGAGUAUGCAGUAAUAUAAAAGUUGUUCAGAGUCCCGGAUGAGAUCCUGGACGUCACGAGGAGUUCCGGAAUUGUCCGGAGGUGAAGAAUUAUAUAUAGGAAGUGUAGUUUCGGCCAUCGGGAAAGUUUCGGGGUCACCGGUAUUGUACCGGGACCACCGGAUGGGUCCCGGGGGUCCACCGGGUGGGGCCACCCAUCCCGGAGGGCCCCAUGGGCUGAAGUGGGGAGGGGAACCAGCCCAUAGUGAGCUGGUGCACCCCCCCUUGGGCCCCCCAUGCGCCUAGGGUUGGGAACCCUAGGGGAGGGGGCGCCUCCACUUGCCUUGGGGGGUACUCCACCCCUUGGCCGCCGCCCCCCUAGGAGAUCCCAUCUCCUAGGGCCGGCGCACCCCCCUAGGGGGCCUAUAUAAAGGGGGCAGGGAGGGCAGCCGCACCUCAAGCCUUGGUGCCUCCCUCUCCCCUGCUACACCUCUCCCUCUCGCAGAAGCUCGGCGAAGCCCUGCUGCAUUCACUGCUGCAUCCACCACCACGCCGUCGUGCUGCUGGAUCUUCAUCAACCUCUCCUUCCCCGUUGCUGGAUCAAGAAGGAGGAGACGUCAUCCGCUCCAUACGUGUGUUAAACGCGGAGGUGUCGUCCGUUCGGCACUUGGUCAUCGGUGAUUUGGAUCACGGAGAGUACGACUCCAUCAUCCCCGUUCUCUUGAACGCUUCCGCUCGUGAUCUACAAGGGUAUGUAGAUGCACUCUCCUCUCGUUGCUAGUUGAUUCCAUAGAUUGAUCUUGGUGAAACGUAGGAAUUUUUUUUGUUUCCUGCAACGUUCCCCAACAGUGGCAUCAUGAGGUAGGUCUAUGCGUAGUUACUAUGCACGAGUAGAACACAAAGUAGUUGUGGGCGUCGAUAUUGUCAAUUUGCUUGCCGUUACUAGUCUUAUCUUGAUUCGGUGGCAUCGUGGGAUGAAGCGGCCCGGACCAACCUUACACGUACGCUUACGUGAGACCAGUUCCACCGACUGACAUGCACUAGUUGCAUAAGGUGGCUAGCGGGUGUCUGUCUCUCCCACUUUAGUCGGAUCAGAUUCGAUGAACAGGGUCCUUAUGAAGGGUAAAUAGAAAUUGGCAAUUCACGUUGUGGUUUUGGCGUAGGUAAGAAACGUUCUUGCUAGAAACCUAUAGCAGCCACGUAAAAACUUGCAACAACAAUUAGAGGAUGUCUAACUUGUUUUUGCAGCAAGUGUUUUAUGAUGUGAUAUGGCCAAAGGUUGUGAUGAAUGAUGAAUGAUAUAUGUGAUGUAUGAGAUUGAUCAUGUUCUUGUAAUAGGAAUCACGACUUGCAUGUCGAUGAGUAUGACAACCGGCAGGAGCCAUAGGAGUUGUCUUUAUUUAUUUAUGACCUGCGUGUCAACAUAAAUGUCAUGUAAUUACUUUACUUUAUUGCUAAAGCGUUAGCCAUAGUAGUAGAAGUAAUAGAUGACAAGACAACUUCAAGGAGACACGAUGAUGGAGAUCAUGAUGAUGGAGAUCAUAGUGUCAUGCCGGUGACAAGAUGAUCAUGGAGCCGGGAGCCCCAAGAUAGAGAUCAAAGGAGCUAUAUGAUAUUGGCCAUAUCAUGUCACUAUUAUUUGAUUGCAUGUGAUGUUUAUCAUGUUUUUGUAUCUUGUUUACUUAGAACGACGGUAGUAAAUAAGAUGACCCCUCAUAAUAAUUUCAAGAAAGUGUUCCCCCUAACUGUGCGCCGUUGCGAUUGUUCGUUGUUUCGAAGCACCACGUGAUGAUCGGGUGUGAUAGAUUCCAACAUUCACAUACAACGGGUGUAAGACAGAUUUACACACGCAGUACACUUAGGUUGACUUGACGAGCCUAGCAUGUACAUACAUGGCCUCGGAACACAGAAGACCGAAAGGUCGAGCAUGAGUCGUAUAGAAGAUACGAUCAACAUGAAGAUGUUCACCGAUGUUGACUAGUCCGUCUCACGUGAUGAUCGGACAUGGCCUAGUCAACUCGGAUCAUGUUAUACUUAGAUGACUGGAGGGAUGUCUAUCUAAGUGGGAGUUCAUUGAAUAAUUUGAUUAGAUGAACUUAAUUAUCAUGAACUUAGUCUAAAAUCUUUACAAUAUGUCUUGUAGAUCAAAUGGCCAACGUUGUCCUCAACUUCAACGCGUUCCUAGAGAAAACCAAGCUGAAAGACGAUGGCAGCAACUAUACGGACUAGGUCCGGAACCUGAGGAUCAUCCUCAUAGCUGCCAAGAAAGAUUAUGUCCUAGAAGCACCGCUAGGUGACGCACCCGUCCCACAGAACCAAGACGUUAUGAACGCUUGGCAGACAUGUGCUGAUGAUUACUCCCUCGUUCAGUGCGGCAUGCUUUACAGCUUAGAACCGGGGCUCCAAAAGCGUUUUGAGCAACACGAAGCAUAUGGGAUGUUCGAAGAGCUGAAAAUGGUUUUCCAAGCUCAUGCCCGGGUCAAGAGAUAUGAAGUCUCCGACAAGUUCUUCAGCUGUAAGAUGGAGGAAAAUAGUUCUAUCAGUGAGCACAUACUCAAAAUGUAUGGGUUGCAUAACCGCUUGACUCAGCUGGAAGUUAAUCUCCCGGAUGACGCGGUCAUUGACAGAAUUCUUCAGUCGCUUCCACCAAGCUACAAGAGCUUUGUGAUGAACUUCAAUAUGCAGGGGAUGGAAAAGACCAUUCCUGAAGUAUUUGCAAUGCUGAAAUCAGUAGAGGUAGAAGUCAAAAAGGAACAUCAAGUGUUGAUGAUGAAUAAAACCACUAAGUUCAAGAAAGGCAAGGGUAAGAAGAACUUCAAGAAGGACGGCAAGGGAGUUGUCGCGCCCGGUAAGCAAGCUGCCGGGAAGAAGCCAAAGAAUGGACCCAAGCCCGAGACUGAGUGCUUUUAUUGCAAGGGAAGUGGUCACUGGAAGCGGAACUGCCCCAAAUACUUAGCGGACAAGAAGGCCGGCAUCACAAAAGGUAUAUGUGAUAUACAUAUAAUUGAUGUGUACCUUACCAGUACUCGUAGUAGCUCCUGGGUAUUUGAUACCGGUGCGGUUGCUCACAUUUGUAACUCAAAGCAGGAGCUGUGGAAUAAGCGGAGACUGGCGAAGGACGAGGUGACGAUGCGCGUCGGGAAUGGUUCCAAGGUCGAUGUGAUCGCUGUCGGCACGCUACCUCUACAUUUACCUACGGGAUUAGUUUUAAACCUCAAUAAUUGUUAUUUAGUGCCAGCUUUGAGCAUGAACAUUGUAUCAGGAUCUCGUUUAAUACGAGAUGGCUACUCAUUUAAAUCCGAGAAUAAUGGUUGUUCUAUUUAUAUGAAAGAUAUGUUUUAUGGUCAUGCUCCGAUGAUGAAUGGUUUAUUCUUAAUGAAUCUCGAGCGUAAUGCUACACAUAUUCAUAGUGUGAAUAUCAAAAGAUGUAAGGUUGAUAAUGAUAGUCCCACAUACUUGUGGCACUGUCGCCUUGGUCACAUAGGUGUCAAACGCAUGAAGAAGCUCCAUGCAGAUGGACUUUUAGAGUCGCUUGAUUACGAAUCAUUUGACACGUGCGAACCAUGCCUCAUGGGUAAAAUGACCAAGACUCCGUUCUCAGGAACAAUGGAGCAAGCAACCAACUUAUUGGAAAUCAUACAUACUGAUGUGUGCGGUCCAAUGAGUGUUGAGGCUCGCGGUGGCUAUCGUUAUGUUCUCACCCUCACUGAUGACUUGAGUAGAUAUGGGUAUGUCUACUUAAUGAAACACAAGUCUGAGACCUUUGAAAAGUUCAAGGAAUUUCAGAGUGAGGUUGAGAAUCAACGUGACAGGAAAAUUAAGUUCUUGCGAUCAGAUCGUGGGGGAGAAUACUUGAGUCACGAAUUUGGCACACACUUAAGAAAAUAUGGAAUAGUUUCACAACUCACGCCGCCUGGAACACCUCAGCGUAAUGGUGUGUCCGAACGUCGUAAUCGCACUCUAUUAGAUAUGGUGCGAUCUAUGAUGUCUCUUACCAAUUUACCGCUAUCAUUUUGGGGCUAUGCUUUAGAGACUACCGCAUUCACUUUAAAUAGGGCUCCAUCGAAAUCCGUUGAGACGACACCGUAUGAAUUAUGGUUUGGGAAGAAACCUAAGCUGUCAUUUCUAAAAGUUUGGGGAUGCGAUGCUUAUGUCAAGAAACUUCAACCUGAAAAGAUCGAACCCAAGUCGGAAAAAUGCGUCUUCAUAGGAUACCCUAAAGAAACUGUUGGGUAUACCUUCUACCUCAGAUCCGAAGGCAAGAUCUUUGUUGCCAAGAAUGGGUCCUUUCUAGAGGAGUUUCUCUCGAAAGAAAUAAGUGGGAGGAAGGUAGAACUUGAUGAAGUAUUACCUCUUGAACCGGUAAGUGGCGCAGCUCAAGAAAAUGUUUCUGAGGUGCCUGCACCGACUAGAGAGGAAGUUGAUGAUGAUGAUCAUGAAACUUCAGAUCAAGUUUCUACUGAACUUCGUAGGUCCAUAAGGACACGUUUCGCACCAGAGUGGUACGGCAAUCCUGUCUUGGAAAUCAUGUUGUCAGACAACGGUGAACCUUCGAACUAUGAAGAAGCGAUGGCGGGCCCGGAUUCCGACAAAGGGCUGGAAGCCAUGAAAUCCGAGAUAGGAUCCAUGCAUGAAAACGAAGUAUGGACUUUGACUGACUUGCCCGUUGAUCGGCGAGUCAUAGAAAAUAAAUGGAUCUUUAAGAAGAAGAUAGGCGCGGAUGGUAAUGUGACCAUCUAUAAAUCUCGGCUUGUCGCUAAGGGUUAUCGACAAGUUCAAGGGGUUGACUACGAUGAGACUUUCUCACCCGUAGCGAAGCUGAAGUCCGUCCGAACCAUGUUAGCAAUUACCGUAUUCUAUGAUUAUGAGAUAUGGCAAAUGGACGUCAAAACGGCAUUCCUUAAUGGUUUCCUUAAGGAAGAAUUGUAUAUGAUACAGCCGGAAGGUUUUGUCAAUCCUAAGAAUGCUGACAAGGUGUGCAAGCUCCAACGCUCGAUUUAUGGGCUGGUGCAAGUAUCUCGGAGUUGGAACAUUCGUUUUGAUGAGAUGAUCAAAGCGUUUGGGUUUAUGCAGACUUAUGGAGAAGCCUGCAUUUACAAGAAAGUGAGUGGGAGCUUUGUAGCAUUUCUCAUAUUGUAUGUGGAUGACAUACUGUUGAUGGGAAAUGAUAUAGAAUUCUUGGAAAGCAUAAAGGCCUAUUUGAACAAGUGUUUUUCAAUGAAGGACCUUGGAGAAGCUGCUUAUAUAUUAGGCAUCAAGAUCUAUAGAGAUAGAUCGAGACGCCUCAUUGGUCUUUCACAGAGUACGUACCUUGACAAGAUUUUGAAGAAGUUCAAAAUGGAUCAGUCAAAUAAGGGGUUCUUGCCUGUAUUGCAAGGUACGAGAUUGAGCUUGGCUCAAUGCCCGACCAAGGCAGAAGAUAGAGAAAAGAUGAGUGUCGUCCCCUAUGCCUCGGCCAUAGGGUCUAUCAUGUAUGCUAUGCUGUGUACCAGACAUGAUGUAAACCUUACCGUGAGUUUGGUAGGAAGGUACCAAAGUAAUCCCGGCAUGGAACACUGGACAGCGGUCAAAAAUAUCCUGAAGUACCUGAAAAGGACUAAGGAAAUGUUUCUCGUUUAUGGAGGUGACGAAGAGCUCGUCGUAAAGGGUUACGUCGAUGCUAGCUUCGACACAGAUCUGGAUGACUCUAAGUCACAAACCGGAUACGUGUAUAUUUUGAAUGGUGGGGCAGUAAGCUGGUGCAGUUGCAAGCAAGGCGUUGUGGCGGGAUCUACAUGUGAAGCGGAGUACAUGGCAGCCUCGGAGGCAGCACACGAAGCAGUCUAGGUGAAGGAGUUCAUUACCGACCUAGGAGUCAUACCCAAUGCGUCGGGCCCGAUGACUCUCUUCUGUGACAACACUGGAGCUAUUGCCCUUGCCAAGGAGCCCAGGUUUCACAGGAAGACCAGGCAUAUCAAGCGUCGCUUCAACUCCAUUCGUGAAAGUGUUCAAAAUGGAGACAUAGAGAUUUGUAAAGUACAUACAGACCUGAAUGUAGCAGAUCCGUUGACUAAACCUCUCCCUAGAGCAAAACAUAAUCAACACCAGAAUUCCAUGGGUGUUCGAUUCAUCACAAUGUAACUAGAUGAUUGACUCUAGUGCAAGUGGGAGACUGUUGGAAAUUUGCCCUAGAGGCAAUAAUAAAAUGAUUAUUAUAUUUCCUUGUUCAUGAUAAUUGUCUAUUAAUCAUGCUAAAAUUGUAUUAUCCGGAAAUCGUAAUACAUGUGUGAAUACAUAGACCACAAUGUGUCCCUAGUGAGCCUCUAGUUGACUAGCUCGUUGAUCAACAGAUAGUCAUGGUUUCCUGGCUAUGGACAUGGGGAUGUCAUUGAUAACGGGAUCACAUCAUUAGGAGAAUGAUGUGAUGGACGAGACCGAAACCUAAGCAUAGCACAAAGAUCGUGUAGUUCGUUUGCUGUAGCUUUUUUGGAUGUCAAGUAUCAUUUCCUUAGACCAUGAGAUUGUGCAACUCUCGGAUACCGUAGGAGUGCCUUGGGUGUGCCAAAAGUCACAACGUAACUGGGUGACUAUAAAGGUACAUUACAGGUAUCUCCGAAAGUGUCUGUUGGGUUGGCACGAAUCGAGACUGGGAUUUGUCACUCCGUAUGAUGGAGAGGUAUCUUUGGGCCCACUCGGUAAUGCAUCAUCAUAAUGAGCUCAAUGUGAUCAAGUGGUUGAUCACGGGAUCAUGCAUUACGGUACGAGUAAAGUGACUUUCCGGUAACGAGGCUGAACAAGGUAUUGGGAUACCGACAAUCGAGUCUCGGGCAAGUAACGUACCGAUUGACAAAGGGAAUUGAGUACGAGAUUGAUUAGGUCCUCAACAUCGUGGUUCAUCCGAUGAGAUCAUCGAGGAGCAUGUGGGAGCCAACAUGGGUAUCCAGAUCCCGCUGUUGGUUAUUGACCAGAGAGUCGUCUCGGUCAUGUCUGCUUGUCUCCCGAACCCGUAGGGUCUACACACUUAAGGUUCGGUGACGCUAGGGUUGUAUAGAUAUGAGUAUGCAGUAAUCCGAUAGUUGUUCGGAGUCCCAAAUGAGAUCCUGGACGUCACGAGGAGUUCCAGAAUUGUCCGGAGGUGAAAAAUUAUAUAUAGGAAGUGUAGUUUCGGCCAUCAGGAAAGUUUCGGGGUCACCGAUAUUGUACCGGGACCACCGGAUGGGUCCCGGGGGUCCACCGGGUGGGGCCACCCAUCCCGGAGGGCCCCAUGGGCUGAAGUGGGGAGGGGAACCAGCCCAUAGUGGACUGGUGCACCCCCCCUUUGGCUCCCCAUGCGCCUAGGGUUGGGAACCCUAGGGGAGGGGGCGCCUCCACUUGCCUUGGGGGGUACUCCACCCCUUGGCCGCCGCCCCCCUAGGAGAUCCCAUCUCCUAGGGCCGGCGCACCCCCUAGGGGGCCUAUAUAAAGGGGGGAGGGAGGGCAGCCGCACCUCAAGCCUUGGUGCCUCCCUCUCCCCUACUACACCUCUCCCUCUCGCAGAAACUCGGCGAAGCCCUGCUGCGUUCACUGCUGCAUCCACCACCACGCCGUCGUGCUGCUGAAUCUUCAUCAACCUCUCCUUCCCCCUUGCUGGAUCAAGGAGGAGACGUUAUCCGCUCCGUACGUGUGUUGAACGCGGAGGUGCCGUCCGUUCGGCACUUGGUCAUCGGUGAUUUGGAUCACGGCGAGUACGACUUCAUCAUCCCCGUUCUCUUGAACGCUUUCGCUCGCGAUCUACAAGGGUAUAUAGAUGCACUCUCCUCUCGUUGCUAGUUGAUUCCAUAGAUUGAUCUUGAUGAAACGUAGGAUUUUUUUUGUUUUCUGCAACGUUCCCAACAGUACGCAUAUAAAAAAUGUCUAGAACUAGAAGUAUUAUCCGAUUGAAACACAAGAUUGUAGUCCCUUAUAGGCCCCUUCUCAACUAAAAUGUCUCUAGACUUAUUGUCAAGAUUCUCCCAGUUCCGAGGGUCAUAAAUAUCUAAAGGACUAGUUUCUUGUUCAUUAGGAAUUGGGUUUUCAGAAUUGGCAUUAUUUUCAUGCUCACCCGAAUUUCUGCCCUGAUUGUGAUCAUUUGUAGAAUCUAAGGCUUCUACGGGUUGUUGAUCUAAUUGAUUAGACCUCUCAGCAACGACUUUCCUAGGAAGAAAUUUGUGCAUAGAACCCUUUUGAGUAUCAAUGAACUCUUUUUCUGCCUUUUUCUUUCUUCUUUUCUCAGAACCAGACAAAUGCUUUUUAGGCAACAUUUUUACAUGAAAGGAGUGGGAACACCUGAAUUUGUCGGAGUAUUGAAGAAAUCCAGCUAUCCAGUCCCAAGCAUAUUGGAUCUUGCCAUCUAGCUAUGGUCCUUGUAUUCCUCAAAUGAGCAGCCUGUACAGUAGAGAAGAUCAGUCAGAGAAUCACUAAAAACAAAAAAAAACAGUCCAAAGAUGAAUUGGAAAAGGACUCAGAAUCGGAAAUUACAAGAACUUUGUGAGCGGAG
rnacentral:lncRNA from 1 species